UGGGGAAUCUUGCCCAAUGGGCGAAAGCCUGAGGCAGCGACGCCGCGUGCGGGAAGAAGGCCCUCGGGUUGUAAACCGCUUUCAGGAGGGACGAAGCUACUCGGGUGAAUAGCCCAGAGGGUGACGGUACCUCCAGAAGAAGCCCCGGCUAACUACGUGCCAGCAGCCGCAGUAAUACGUAGGGGGCAAGCGUUGUCCGGAUUUAUUGGGCGUAAAGCGCGUGUAGGCGGCCAGGCAGGUCCGUUGUGAAAACUGGAGGCUCAACCUCCAGACGUCGAUGGAAACCGCUUGGCUAGAGUCCGGAAGAGGAGAGUGGAAUUCCUGGUGUAGCGGUGAAAUGCGCAGAUAUCAGGAAGAACACCGAUGGCGAAGGCAGCUCUCUGGGACGGUACUGACGCUGAGACGCGAAAGCGUGGGAGCGAGCAGGAUUAGAUACCCUGGUAGUCCACGCCGUAAACGAUGGGUGCUAGGUGUGGGAGGUGUCGACUCCUCCCGUGCCGCG
rnacentral:rRNA from 1 species